rnacentral:rRNA from 1 species
AGCAGCCGCGGUAAUUCCAGCUCCAAUAGCGUAUAUUAACGUUGUUGCAGUUAAAAAGCUCGUAGUUGAAGUGUGGGUGAUCGCUGUUGUGAGACUUCGGUCUCUCGACAGUAAGUCACCCCCUUCCAGUAUCGAGUAGUGGGUAUUCACUUACUUACUAUUGUGUGUUGGUCCUUUACAGUGAGAAAAUUAGAGUGUUCAAAGCAGGCGUUUGCUUGAAUAGAUUAGCAUGGAAUAAUAAUUGAAGGCUUUCGUGUUCGAUUUGAUUGGUUUGUUCAUGGAAGCAAGGUUAAAAGGAACAGUUGGGGGUAUUCAUAUUCACUAGUUAGAGGUGAAAUUCUCGGAUUUAUGGAAGAUGAACAAGUGCGA